rnacentral:rRNA from 1 species
GGUGAAAAGCACCCCGGAAGGGGAGUGAAAUAGAACCUGAAACCGUGUGCUUACAAGUAGUCAGAGCCCGUUAAUGGGUGAUGGCGUGCCUUUUGUAGAAUGAACCGGCGAGUUACGAUUUGAUGCAAGGUUAAGCAGUAAAUGUGGAGCCGUAGCGAAAGCGAGUCUGAAUAGGGCGUUUAGUAUUUGGUCGUAGACCCGAAACCAGGUGAUCUACCCUUGGUCAGGUUGAAGUUCAGGUAACACUGAAUGGAGGACCGAACCGACUUACGUUGAAAAGUGAGCGGAUGAACUGAGGGUAGCGGAGAAAUUCCAAUCGAACCUGGAGAUAGCUGGUUCUCUCCGAAAUAGCUUUAGGGCUAGCCUCAAGUGAUGAUUAUUGGAGGUAGAGCACUGUUUGGACGAGGGGCCCCUCUCGGGUUACCGAAUUCAGACAAACUCCGAAUGCCAAUUAAUUUAACUUGGGAGUCAGAACAUGGGUGAUAAGGUCCGUGUUCGAAAGGGAAACAGCCCAGACCACCAGCUAAGGUCCCAAAAUAUAUGUUAAGUGGAAAAGGAUGUGGCGUUGCCCAGACAACUAGGAUGUUGGCUUAGAAGCAGCCAUCAUUUAAAGAGUGCGUAAUAGCUCACUAGUCGAGUGACACUGCGCCGAAAAUGUACCGGGGCUAAACAUAUUACCGAAGCUGUGGAUUGUCCUUUGGACAAUGGUAGGAGAGCGUUCUAAGGGCGUUGAAGCAUGAUCGUAAGGACAUGUGGAGCGCUUAGAAGUGAGAAUGCCGGUGUGAGUAGCGAAAGACGGGUGAGAAUCCCGUCCACCGAUUGACUAAGGUUUCCAGAGGAAGGCUCGUCCGCUCUGGGUUAGUCGGGUCCUAAGCUGAGGCCGACAGGCGUAGGCGAUGGAUAACAGGUUGAUAUUCCUGUACCACCUAUAAUCGUUUUAAUCG